rnacentral:rRNA from 1 species
GGGAAUCUUCCGCAAUGGGCGAAAGCCUGACGGAGCAACGCCGCGUGAUCGAAUGAAGGCCUUCGGGUUGUAAAGAUCUGUUGACAGGGACGAAUAAGCAAUGCGAAUAGUUUUGUGUAUGACGGUACCUGUUUAGAAAGCUCCGGCUAACUACGUGCCAGCAGCCGCGGUAAUACGUAGGGAGCAAGCGUUGUCCGGAAUUACUGGGCGUAAAGGGCGCGUAGGUGGGCGCUUAAGUCAGCGGUAAAAAUUCGGGGCUCAACCCCGUCCGGCCGUUGAAACUGGGGGCCUUGAGUGGGCGAGAAGAAGGCGGAAUGCGUGGUGUAGCGGUGAAAUGCAUAGAUAUCACGCAGAACCCCGAUUGCGAAGGCAGCCUUCCGGCGCCCUACUGACGCUGAGGCACGAAAGUGCGGGGAUCGAACAGG